GCACUGCUGAGGAGUCCCAUAAUAGGACGAAACGCCAUCCAGUGU
rnacentral:hammerhead_ribozyme from 1 species